rnacentral:lncRNA from 1 species
GGGUAUUUUAGGAGGUGGAAUCACAAGGACUCUGAGUUUAAACAGACUUGGGACGGUGGGAGAGGGGGAGGAGUCUACUCGCAGCAGGAACGAAUACCAAAAAUAGUAUGAACGCAGAUCAGUAAACCAAAUUUGACCUAAAUCCAGGCUCAUUUUCUGAAAUGCAGCGGGCGUUCACCAGAGAUGCGCUUCCCCGGCCCUGCCACCUGGGGGCGCGCCGAGCGAGGCCAUCGCGGGCAAAGGGGCGACUCCGUCUCUGCAAACAUUUCUCUCUCGGGCCAGUAGGGGGAGAAAGAUGAACGAAACCAGAACGGCGAGGGCGGGAUCCCGCGGCAGCGAAAAACGCUUUCAGUGCCAGGGUCCUGGGUUCAAACCCCAGUGCCCCUGCUUGAUGGGUUACAGGGCGCCUUUAAUAUCUGUCUCUAUGCUUCAUUUUCUCCUGUUAUAAAAUGAGCCAGUCACACACUGGUAAGGCUGGUUAAAUACUAAAAUUUUGUUAUUGUGACCUCAAUGACCUUAAAGUAGUCCCCUGUCCUGCCCCCCCCCCCCUCGCCCCACCUCACCCCACCCCCUGUGCUAACUGCUUUUCAUGAAACUCCUCUCCCCAUACUGCUGUCUGUAGGAUGCCGAAGGGCCUGCGGAGAAAGACAAAAACCAAACUAUUCCUAAAAAGAAUUUGGAAAAUGAAGAGUCACACAGGUUUUGUUUUUUUUUCUCUCCUCCUUAGACCCUGCAGGACACUGAGACGCAACAUGGUGACUUUUCAAAAGAGACAAUGCUUACAGGCCUUCCAGGACUCCGCUAUAACCACUCCCCUACACGGCCUGCCUUCUCUCACUGAAGAAUUCCCCAAGCAAACACACUAUUGCCCUAAACUCUGAUUCUCUCAGGAAAGGAGCUUUUCCUGGACUUUUUUUUACCACAAUGGGAUACAGGGCAUGCCCUUGAUUGAGAAUUAUAGGUGGAGCCCAUUACAUGGGGCUAAGAAUACAAAUGAGACGACAACAACGCUCAGAUAACAACAAUCAGAAUGCCUGCGUGUGAAUGCUGGCCCCUACCAGCUCUGCGACCUUGAGCAAGUGGCUUGACAUCUUGGAUUCUCUGUACAGUGAGAACUGCAGUAGCCAUUGUGCGUCCUCUCCAGGAUAAACGAAAGCGUGCUCAUACGCACUUGGAAAGCCAGUUUGCAAACAGUAAAUGGAGCCAUAAUUGAGC